rnacentral:rRNA from 1 species
AGAACGCUGASMGGCAGGCUUAACACMUGGRAKYCSAGSGGWAACRRGRGAAGCUUGCUUCYCGSUGACGAGCGGCGGACGGGUGAGUAAUACUUAGGAAUCUACCUAGUAGUGGGGGAUAGCUCGGGGAAACUCGAAUUAAUACCGCAUACGACCUACGGGAGAAAGGGGGCARCUUGYUGCUCUCGCUAUUAGAUGAGCCUAAGUCGGAUUAGCUAGWUGGUGGGGUAAAGGCCUACCAWGGCGACGAUCUGUAGCUGGUCUGAGAGGAUGAUCAGCCACACCGGGACUGAGACACGGCCCGGACUCCUACGGGAGGCAGCAGUGGGGAAUAUUGGACAAUGGGGGCAACCCUGAUCCAGCCAUGCCGCGUGUGUGAAGAAGGCCUUUUGGUUGUAAAGCACUUUAAGCAGUGAAGAAGACUCCAUGGUUAAUACCCAUGGACGAUGACAUUAGCUGCAGAAUAAGCACCGGCUAACUCUGUGCCAGCAGCCGCGGUAAUACAGAGGGUGCAAGCGUUAAUCGGAAUUACUGGGCGUAAAGCGAGCGUAGGUGGCUURAUAAGUCAGAUGUGAAAGCCCCGGGCUUAACCUGGGAACGGCAUCUGAUACUGUUAGGCUAGAGUAGGUGAGAGGAAGGUAGAAUUCCAGGUGUAGCGGUGAAAUGCGUAGAGAUCUGGAGG